rnacentral:rRNA from 1 species
UACGUAGGGUGCGAGCGUUGCCCGGAUUUAUUGGGCGUAAAGGGCGCGUAGGCGGCCACGCACGUCCGUUGGGAAAUCGCCCGGCUCAACUGGGCGGGGUCAGCGGAUACGGUGUGGCUCGAGCAAGCUAGGGGGCAAUGGAAUUCCCGGUGUAGUGGUGGAAUGCGUAGAUAUCGGGAGGAACACCAGUGGCGAAGGCGGUUGCCUGGAGCUUUGCUGACGCUGAGGCGCGAAAGCGUGGGGAGCGAUCCGG